ACUGCUCCACUUUAAUUUAAUUUUUAGUGCUUUAUUUGAAAACCAAUUUCACUCCUUCAGAAGGCCCUGGUCUACUGUAAUGUGUACACUCUAAAUGAUAUUAACAGUGCUUCUAGUAAUUUGUAUCCAGUGAUCUUCUGAAUGACAUUUGCCAUAAUAUCAUGAGCAAAGAUAUCAACUGGCCUAUCUCAGCUGACAUUAAAUCAAAUUGUCCAGUCAAAUCUAAGAUGUCACAAUUCUUCUUUUCCAAUAUCUUGAUUUUAGGUUUCCAUAGAACGUUUAACCAUAUAAAGUAAAAUGCCAGAUUAAUACAUAGACACUGACUAGACAACAAUGAGAGCUUAAUCAGCUUGGUAAUUGUUCGUGGUUUUGAUUCUUUUCUUCAUUCACUCUCUUCCUCCUAACUCUGGUAAAAAUCCUACCCAAUAAGUCAUUCACUGAAGCAAUUAAAUUCCUGCGGUCGGCCAGGUCUGGUUGGGAGUAGUGCUCCAUCACAUCACGGUGUGGUAGCUGCAGCGGCUCUCUGUGACUUAUUGUCUUGUUGCAACAUUCAUUAAAGAAAAACCUCUUUGUUGGCUCAGAUUCUUGUGGUAAGAAGACUGGCAAAAUCCCAAAUACGCUGUUCCUAUUUUAUUGGAGUUUGGGAAAUAAAAUCACUGAAUUACAACAGUUUAGUUAAAAGGCAAUCCUUUUAGUCCAGAUAUUGAGGUACCAUAUGUGUUAUGUGAUCUGUGCUCAUUCUUUAGCAAGGUUGUAAGGGACUCUAAAAGCAUGUUUCUGUUCACUUUUGCUGCAUGUAGCUGUGUAACACUAUACUAGUGAGCUUUCUUAAUCUUUUAUUUAGGUUAAUUGAAAAGUAAAAAAAAUGCUAUUACCAGUUUUAGGCUAUCGAAAACAUUUUUUUUUGGGAUUUUCCCUCUUUUGUCAUCUUGCUGAAUCAUGGUUUUGCACAGAAUCACCACCAUGUGUGACAGUGAUUCACUUCCAUUCUGAUUUACAUGUUGGUGUGUGCAUGUGUGUACUGUUGUCAGCAUCUAAGACCCAUCUCUGGGAAUUCAGGCUGCUCUAUUUUUGUGCUUCCCAUUUCUCAUCAAUAUUUCACUCUUUCCUUGACUCAUUCCCUCCCUCUUCUCUCAGAAUAAGGUGUUAUCUAUGCUCUACCAAACACCAUUGAUGGACUGGUUGGCUGGAUGGAAUCCCACUGGGACCGUAUGAGUUGCGUCUGGUACUACAGGGAAACUGCCUCUGCCAGAUGGCUGCAAACAAUCCUUUUGCUAUUUUUUAACCUUUAUUUACACACAGUUGGUUGACAGAGUCCAACACAUGCUUACACAUUUUUCGUCUAUUCACAAAGGACUUGUCCAGCACAACUAUGCCUUGACACUGGGUCAUUUAGCUAAUUCAUGGGUGCAGCAAGAGCCAAGGGCAGGUCAAACUAUUCUAACAGUUGAAUGUAUUUUUUUCCAAUUCCCCUGCUUCAAAUCAUACGUCCCUGCUGUGUCAGUUCCAGCAGCCCCGUCAACACUAAUGUCACUGCAGAGAAAAAAAGAGACAGUGGGGUUAAAUGGGCAGGGACCUCAUGUGGUGCGCCAUAAUGGCUGCAUACCGUCACACAAAUGAGUAAGGGCGGACAGUACAAACCUACCAGGAACUCCAAACCUUUAACCCAAAACAGAAACUCAUCGUUUUACAUCACCAUUGUUUAAAUUAUCCUUACUUGCACAAUACUAUUUAUUACUUAUUGGUUUUACAGCAACAUUAUAAAAGUGUGUAUUUUCAUUCUCUUACAAUGAUUUUGUAAUUUGAAAAAUAAGACCAUGAUAAAUUACUUUGAAACUUGUUCUUAAACUGCUAAAAUCUGUUCAUAAGGAUGUAAAAAAAAAAUGUAAAAACAUAUAAAAGGGGAAAAAAUUAAUUGUAUAAGUGCACACAACCUAAAAUAAAUGCUUCAUUGUACAACCUCAGAUUUCUACAAAAACAUUAUUUCUAAUUUAUUUCAGGACCUCUCUGUGCAAGCCAUUCUAUUGUUGAUUUGAAUGUAUACUUGGACUUACUGUGACGAGUAAGAAUUAAAUCUUUCUUAAUGUUCUUCCCCAAAAUUGACAAAAAACUUUGGCAAAGUUCAAGGUUUCCUCAGACCUUUGAACAUGAGGUAUUAAACAUGGAUAUUUUAAUAUUUAAAAUGAGACCAAUGACUCGUGGCCACUAUAUAAAGCAGCAUGAUAGUAUCAUAAUGUCUGUUUGUGAGACCAAUGCUUAGGCCAAAACUACGGCUGACAGAUGGGCAUAUAAAUGGUUUAUUGACACAACAGAGAAAAUAAAUGUUUCUUCCAGGUUCCAGAGUGGGCUCCAUGAUGGAACUAAGGCAGAGACAUUAAUGGUUACCUUACAAUGUGCUAUUUGAUAAUAUUUGCAAGGAUGAUGAAGAAAAGUCUUACUAUUGUCAAAGCAGAGGAGGAUCCUGACAGAGAGGUGAGUGUAUCCACAGGAACUGAAGUUGGCAAGUUAUGGUGGGUGGAGUCGUUUCCUGAUUUUGUUUGUUUCCUUGUUCCAGAGAGAAGAUUGAGAUGACAGUGAAGCGAUGGAGGGUGGACAUACUGACUUAUGAGGGUUGUACGGAGAGAUCCAAGUGACCCAUCCGAGGAGGAGUGGGAGGAAAUUCUAAAGAGGAGAUGCAAAGAUUCUCUCAUUCACGGAUGAGCUCGAGCACAAACACUUCCUCACAUCUUCGGCUGCGCGCACAUAUUGUGAAGGCUCGCGACCCUGUGCACAUAUUGUUAUUAAACUGCUGCUUGUUGAAUGGUGGAUAGUGGUGCUUGCCUGGAGGAAAGGACAGUAGUUAAACCAGCACUGAUUUACUUUCUGUACAAUGGAAGUAAAAUCAAUUUCAAAACCCAUUACCUGUAUGGGUGAUUUAAAGGCAAUCUGAGAAAGCAAAAGUGUUUUAUCACCUAUUUCAUCAAUUUCUCCUUGUGUUUAUUUGUGUGGGUGUUUGCUUUUUGUUUCUUAAGCAGUGCAUAUAUUUUAUUAAGUGCUUCCUGAAAGUUAUGGUAAUUGAAAAAAAUGGCUCCACGUGUUACAUUGGCAUUUCAGAAUUAUUUAAUGGUUAUGCUAGAUCAACCAAAUAUAACACAAAGCUGCGUUGGACUCACUGUAACUUGUGAGGGACCAACAUUACAUCUGCUCCAUGCUGCGUUAGUUUAGGUUGUUGCUUUUUGCCAAACCAACAGGAGUGAUGAAACUGGGUCCGCCACAGUAACAAGCUCUCUAAUAACUAAAGUCAUCUUCAUCUCUUUUAGCCUCACCUGAACUUUGAUUCAACUUUAUUACAUCUGUACUGUCACUUUGGUCAAACUAUUACAGAGAAAAGUCAUAGUUCUAUAUGUGCUGCACAUGGAUUAUGGCGUUAUAAAUAUGUGUUCAGCAUGCCGUAUUGAUGUCUGCGUGGCUUGUUAAUCUGCUGCUUAAACUGUCACAUUCUUUUUUUGAAAUAAAGGUUUUUGCUGCGUUUGCAGCAUGUCUGA